UGAGGGACUUCUACCUGUGUUAUCCUGCAAUUCUCACAAACACAUUAGUCCCUCAACUAGGUUUGUCGUCAAUACUCCAAAACCAACUAGGGGUGGCACUAGAUGCACUUACACAGAUCCACAACUACAAAUAAAUGGAAAGGCUGGGAAUACAGAAGCCUCGUUUACACAAUUGUUAUCAAAUCUUCCUUUGAUAUCAAGUGAGGGUUCAGUAUCAAAAACAAGUGACAUAAUAGCAUCGGAAUUUUCAUCUCUGGAGCAGUUGAUGGUAUUGAUGGAUGUAGAUAUGUCAGGUGUUGAAAACAUUAGAAGUGUUAUAGAAAGAGAGGAAUUUGUGAUAGAGGAUAGCAUCAAUGCAUGGAUAUGUUGCCACAAGGAGAGGAUGAGACUCAUUUAUGGAAGAAGCAUCGGGCUGCCUCUGGUUCCACCAUCACAACUUACCCAACUUCAUCUUUAUUCAUGCAGUAUUACAGAUGGGGCAUUAGUUAUUUGCCUUAAUACUCUCACUUCUCUGAGAAUGCUGACCUUAGAUAAGAUCAUGACUUUGACUACACUUCCAUCUCAAGAGGUCCUCCAACAUUUGACAGAGCUUCGCUACCUGUGCAUCGAGUCUUGCUGGUGUCUCAGGUCAUUAGGGGGUUUACGAGCUGCUACCUCUCUUUUGGAUGUCAGAUUUUACUCCUGCCCUUCUCUAGACUUGGCACGUGGAGCAGAUGAAAUGCCAUUAUCACUUACGAUGCUCAUUACAUCCCGGUGCGUGGUUGGAGCUAAUUUCUUCAGUAGUGGUCUACCGCACCUGAGAUCUUGACAUGGGUGGCUGUGGAGGCCUUGCAUCCUUGUCAAUUGGUCAUCUGACCUCCCUUGCAUCAUUAAGACUAGUAGAUCUCCCUGAUCUGUGCUUUAUUGAAGGACUGUCUUUCCUGCAACUUCACAGCGUAUAUUUAAAAGAUGUCCCGAAGCUCAAAGCGAAGUGCAUCUCACAGUUUCGGGUGCAGAAAUCACUCAGUGUUAGCAGUCCUGUGAUACUCAACCACAUGCUCUCGGCUAAAGGUUUUACAGUUCCAGAAUUCCUCAAUCUUAUUAAUUGCAAGGAGCCAUCUGUUUCAUUCGAAGAAUCUGCAAAUUUCUCAUCCCUGCGGUACCUGUCAUUAUAUAGUAGUGAAAUGAGGUCCCUGCCAAUAAAUCUGAAGUGUCUGUCCAGUCUGACAAAGCUUGGUAUCUACGGGUGCCCCAACAUAUCAUCUUUACCUGAUCUACCAUCCUCCCUUCAACAUAUAUGUGUUCGGCGUUGUGAGCGCUUGAAGGAGAGCUGCCAAACACCCGAUGGAGAAAGCUGGCCAAAGAUUGCGAGUAUCCGCUGCAAGGAAAUCGAAUGAACUGCGAUUUCAGAUUCACAGCUAUAAAUAAAUGCAAAGGCUGGGAGAAUGAAGCUUCGUUUUCCAACAGUCUCAAGAUCCAGUGACCUCGUCUCCACUGCCUUCAGGAGUCGAGUGUUGGACUGCCUCAAGUUCACUUACACUUGAACUCUCUCCGCGCUGUGGCUGGUGCGGACCCCUUGGCUCCUUUCUACCUCGACUGUAGCAUGCAUCGCUCUUCCACUCUUGACGGCCCCACUGCUGUGCUGAGACACGUGUGUCUAAGUUUGAAUCUUGUUCUAUGUGGUUAUGUUUUGUUAUCCUGUCUUGGAGUGUGGUACUUUUGAGUUUGCUUGAUGCUGGACUGCUGGUCAUAAAUAUUACUCCUAUUUCUUAUGUGCUGAGAUGUACUUCGAUAUCUCACGACCUCUGAAGGGCUAAGCUCCACAACUCUGUACAAUAUUGUAGCUGAACUUCUGCAUUAUGUUUGGAGUUUGCUGAAGGUCUGAUGUGAAGCAAAUCUGAACACUACUAGCAGUUACACGCCCUCACGGCAGGCCUUAACUUCUCGUCAAGUUGUAGCAGUCACCAUGUGAAUCAUUUGAUCCUGCGGUCAUUCUGGAGACAGGGAGAAGUAACUACAUAGGUCUAAAAGAUUUUUUUUAGAGAUGAUGGUUUAGGGUGCACUGACUAUUAAUCUUGACAGCAUGUGUUCUGGGAAAAAAUUUAACCACAAGGGCCCAAGGUGCACAAGCAAAUCCAGCACUGUAGAAAACCGCACCACAGUGGAAAAUGUCUAACUCUGAUGUCUGAACUAGAUCGGCCAGAUGGGUGCAGUUCAG